CCUGUCAUGCUAGGCCGCAUGUGUGGAGAGUGGUGUAUGUCGACAGAAAAGCACGGGUCUGGUAUGCACAAGCCCCCAGUCGAUGCAGCACUGAUCCACCAUUAUGCUGAUCUGCAAAAACCAUUGCUAUGGCAUAUAAUAGUCAGGUUUAAACUUAGUUGUGCCAGAGCUCUCUGCAAGCACGUCUAGCUAGCUCGGCGGUAAGGC